UACGAAGGGGGCUAGCGUUUUUCGGAAUUACUGGGCGUAAAGCGCACGUAGGCGGGUUUGUAAGUAGGGGGUGAAAUCCCAGGGCUCAACCCUGGAACUGCCUUCUAGACUGCAAGCCUGGAGGUCAGGAGAGGCGAGUGGAAUACCGAGCGUAGAGGUGAAAUUCGUAGAUAUUCGGUGGAACACCAGUGGCGAAGGCGACUCGCUGGACUGAUACUGACGCUGAGGUGCGAAAGCGUGGGGAGCAAACAGG
rnacentral:rRNA from 1 species